rnacentral:rRNA from 1 species
UACGUAGGGUGCAAGCGUUAAUCGGAAUUACUGGGCGUAAAGCGUGCGCAGGCGGUUGUGCAAGACAGAUGUGAAAUCCCCGGGCUUAACCUGGGAAUGGCAUUGGAAACUGGCUCGCUGGAGUGUGGCAGGAGGGGGGUGGAAUUCCGCGUGUAGCAGUGAAAUGCGUAGAGAUGCGGAGGAACACCGAUGGCGAAGGCAGCCCCCUGGGCUAACACUGACGCUCAGGCACGAAAGCGUGGGGAGCAAACAGG